UACGUAGGGUGCAAGCGUUAAUCGGAAUUACUGGGCGUAAAGCGUGCGCAGGCGGUGAUGUAAGACAGGUGUGAAAUCCCCGGGCUUAACCUGGGAACUGCAUUUGUGACUGCAUCGCUGGAGUGCGGCAGAGGGGGAUGGAAUUCCGCGUGUAGCAGUGAAAUGCGUAGAUAUCGGUAGGAACACCAGUGGCGAAGGCGGUCUCCUGGGGCAUUCUUGACGCUGAGGCGCGAAAGCUGGGGGAGCAAACGGG
rnacentral:rRNA from 1 species